rnacentral:rRNA from 1 species
ACACGACUACAUUAGAUACCCGGGUAGUCCUAGCCGUAAACGAUACUCGCUAGGUGUCGGCCACGGUGCGACCGUUGUCGGUGCCGUAGGGAAGCCGUGUAGCGAGCCACCUGGGAAGUACGGCCGCAAGGCUGAAACUUAAAGGAAUUGGCGGGGAGCACCACAACGGGUGGAGCUUGCGGUUUAAUUGGAUUCAACGCCGGAAAUCUUACCGGGACCGACAGCAACAUGAAGGCCAGGCUGAAGACUUUGCCGGAUUAGCUG